CAGGCUUAAAAUCUCCGUGUAAAUUUUACAUGGCGAAUUGUAGYCUAUAGAGGCGUGGUCAGCAUGGGCACUUGGAGUAAGUUCCUUGGAAGAGGACAGCAUGGAGGGUGAUACUCCCGUUCAUCUCCGAGUUGCUCGUGCGUACGGCCCGUUUUCUUUGAGUCGCGUUGUUUGAGAAUGCAGCGCAAAGUAGGUGGUAAAUUCCAUCUAAAGCUAAAUAUUGGUGCGAGACCGAUAGCAUACAAGUACCGUGAGGGAAAGAUGAAAAGAACUUUGAAAAGAGAGUUAAAGAGUACCUGAAACUGCUGAAAGGGAACCAAAUCGUUUCCAGUGUCUAUAAUCUGUGGUAUAUUUCAUUGGCGAGUGUGCGCGUGCGAAUACUAUGGCAGUGGCUUUUUGCUGCGCUUGGUGCUUGUGUUGUGUGUGCUUGCUAGUGCCCUGUACUACGGUGGGACGUCAAGGUCAGUUCGUAUGCUGCGGGAAAUGGCUACUGAGGAGGUAGGGCUUACGCUUGCGUUUGUCUGUUAUAUCUUGGUGGACGAGUUGUCKCGGUUGGGACUGANGUGCCUAUAACGUGCUUGUGAGUGGGAUUGCGUUUCUGUGUGCGCCGUGUGCGGAUAGCUUGCUAUGCGUGUGUGGCUGU
rnacentral:rRNA from 1 species